rnacentral:rRNA from 1 species
ACGCGUGGAACCUUACCAGGUCUUGACAUCCUCUGCUAACCCUAGAGAUAGGGCGUUCCCCUUCGGGGGACGGAGUGACAGGUGGUGCAUGGUUGUCGUCAGCUCGUGUCGUGAGAUGUUGGGUUAAGUCCCGCAACGAGCGCAACCCUUGAUCUUAGUUGCCAGCAUUUAGUUGGGCACUCUAAGGUGACUGCCGGUGACAAACCGGAGGAAGGUGGGGAUGACGUCAAAUCAUCAUGCCCCUUAUGACCUGGGCUACACACGUGCUACAAUGGAUGGUACAAAGGGCAGCAAAACCGCGAGGUCGAGCAAAUCCCAUAAAACCAUUCUCAGUUCGGAUUGUAGGCUGCAACUCGCCUACAUGAAGCUGGAAUCGCUAGUAAUCGCGGAUCAGCAUGCCGCGGUGAAUACGUUCCCGGGCCUUGCACACACCGCCCGU